GGGUGGUCCGAGUGCAGUGGUGUUUACAACUAAUUGAUCAUAACCAGUUACAGAUUUCUCUGUUCCUUCUCCACUCCCCCUGCUUCACUUGACUAGCCUUUA
ensembl:Y_RNA Y_RNA Y RNA